rnacentral:tRNA from 1 species
AAGAGCAUAGUUUAAUGGUAAAACCGUAAGCUUCAAACUUACUAUUUUCAGUUCAAGUCUGAAUGCUCUUG